AUUAUGAUAUCAAUACCUUAUAUUUUAUAAUUUUUUCAAAAAAUUCAAAUAUCAAUACAUUACAAUUUAAGUCAAUAAAAUUAAUCAUAAAAAUACACAUAUUAUCUUGUUUUAGUGUUUAAAAAAUAUAUAUAAUUUUUACAAAUGGUAUAAAAUAAGUAAUUCACUCUACCAAUGUUGAUCACCGUGAGAAGACUACUAUGUUAAAAAAAUACGUUAAAUAGCUAAGUAAUACGUAUAUGAAUAUGUCAUUGUAAUUCAAAGACAUGCAUUUGGUGUGUUUCAACCCAUGCUAUAAUGUUCAAAGCAAACUUAGCUCUUUACCCAUGUAUCCAUCUAAUAAGUUUCACGUUUCUAAUAAGAGUAGUUCUACGUUAUUUUCACAUUUUGUUUUGUUUUCAUAAAUUUAACCCAUCCUGCUUUAUAUAAACUCUCAUUUUCUUGAUUUCUUUUUUUCAUGUACAUUUUUUAAAACAACAUAUUACGAUAUCAAUACUUUAUAUUUUAUAAUUUCAGAUAUAAAGAAAUUCAAAUAUAUCAAUAUAUUACAAUUCAAGUCAAUAAAAUUAAUCAUAAAAAUACACAUAUUCUAUUGUUUUAAAAUUUAAAACAUAUAAUUAAUUUUUAAAUAUGGUAUAAAAUAAGUAAUUCAAUUUACCAAUGUUGAUUUGGCGUAAUAAACCUACUCACCUUGCGAAGGCUACUAUGUUAGACAAAUACAUUAAGUAGCUAAGUAAUAUGUAUAUGAAAAUGUCAUUUUAAUUCAAAGACAUGCCUUUGGAUUGUUUCCACCAAUCCUAUAAUGUUUGAAGAAAACUUAGCUCUUUACCCAUGUAUCCAUCUAGUAGGUUUCACGUCUCUAAUAAAAGUAGUUCUACGUUAUUUUCACAUUUUGUUUUGUUUUCAUAAAUUUAACCCAUCUCUGUCUAUAUAAACUCUCAUUUUCUUUAUUUCUUUUUUAAAUGUUCAUUUUUUUAAAAUAACAUAUUACGAUAUCAAUACUUUAUAUUUUAUAAUUUUUUCAAAAAAUUCAAAUAUCAAUACAUUACAAUUUAAGUCAAUAAAAUUAAUCAUAAAAAUACACAUAUUCUCUUGUUUUAGUGUUUAAAACAUAUAUUUAAUUUUUAAAAAGGGUAUAAAAUAAGUAAUUCACUCAAUCAAUGUUGAUUUGGUGUAAUAAACCUAGUCACCUUGAGAAGACUACUAUGUUAAACAAAUACGUUAAAUAGCUAAGUAAUAUGUAUAUGAAUAUGUCAUUGUAAUUCAAAGACAUGCAUUUGGAGUGUUUCAACCCAUGCUAUAAUGUUCAAAGCAAACUUAGCUCUUUACCCAUGUAUCCAUCUAAUAGGUUUCACGUUUCUAAUAAAAGUAGUUCUACGUUAUUUUCACAUUUUGUUUUGUUUUCAUAAAUUUAACCCAUCUUUCUUUAUAUAAACUCUCAUUUUCUUGAUUUCUUUUUUUCAUGUUCAUUUUUUAAAAUAACAUAUUACGAUAUCAAUACUUUAUAUUUUAUAAUUUUAGAUUUAAAAAAAUUCAAAUAUCAAUACAUUAGAAAUUAAGUCAAUAAAAUUAACAAAAAAAAAUACAUAUUCUUUUGUUUUAGUGUUUAAAACAUAUAUUGAAUUUUUAAAAAUGGUUUAAAAUAAGUAAUUCACUCUGCCAAUGUUGAUUUGAUGUAAUAAAUCUAGUCACCUUGAGAAGGCUAUUAUGUUAAAUAAAUACAUUAAAUAGCUAAGUAAUAUGUAUAUGAAUAUGUCAUUUUCACUCAAAGACAUGCAUUUGGAGUGUUUCAACCAUCCUAUAAUGUUCAAAGCAAACAUAGCUCUUUACCCAUGUAUCCAUCUAAUAGGUUUCACGUUUCAAAUAAAAGUAGUUCUACGUUAUUUUCACAUUUUGGUUUUUUUUUCAUUAGUUUAACCCAUCUUUGUCUUUAUAAACUCUCAUUUUCUUUUUCUUUUUUUUCAUGGUCAUUAUUUUAAAACAACACACUAUGAUUUCAAUACAUUAUAGUUUAGAAUUUUAGAUUUAUAAAAAUUCAAAUAUCAAUACAUUACAAUUUAAGUCAAUAAUAUUAAUCAUAAAAAUAGACAGAAUCUCUUGUUUUAGUGUUUAAAACGUAUUGUUAAUUUUUCAAAAUGGUUUAAAAUAAGUAAUUCACUCUACCAAUGUUGAUUUGAUGUAAUAAAUCUAGUCACCUCGAGAAGGCUAUUAUGUUAAACAAAUACAUCAAGUAGCUAGGUCAUAUGUAUAUGAAUAUGUCAUUUUCACUCAAAGACAUGCAUUUGGAGUGCUUCAACCCAUCCUAUAAUGUUCAAAGCAUACUUAGCUCUUUACCCAUGUAUCCAUCUAAUAGGUUUAACAUUUCAAAUAAAAGUAGUUCUACGUUAUUUUUCACAUUUUGUUUUGUUUUGAUAACUUUAACCCAUCUUUGUCUUUAUAAACUUUCAUUUUUUUCAUGGUCAUAGUUUUAAAACAACCUAUUAUGAUAUCAAUACAUUAUAUUUUAGAAUUUCAAAUUUAUAAAAAUUUCAAAUUGCAAUACAUUACAAUUUAAGUCACAAAAAAAAUAAUCAUAAAAAUAGACAGAUUCUCUUGUUUUAGUGUUUAAAACAUAUAUUAAUUUUUAAAAAUGGUCUAAAAUCAGUAAUUCAUUCUACCAAUGUUGAUUUGGUGUAAUAAACCUAGUCAGUUUGAGAAGGCUACUAUUUUAAACAAAUAUAUUAAGUAGCUAUGUAAUAUUUAUCUGAAUAUAUCAUUUUAAAUCAAUGACCAUGUUUCCAACUAAUAUGUUUCACGUUUCUUAUAAAAGUAGUUCUACAUUAUUUUCACCUUUUGUUUUGUUUUCAUAACUUUAACCCAUCUUUGUCCUUAUAAACUUUUAUUUUCUUUAUUUCGUUUUUUCAUGGUCAUUAUUUUAAAACAACAUAAUAUGAUUAUCUAUACAUUAUAUUUUAGAAUUUUAGAUUUUAAAAAAUUCAAAUAUGAAUACAUUACAAAUUAAGUCAAUAAAAUUAACAAAACAAAUAUGCGUACUCUUUUGUUUUAAUGUUUAAAACAUAUAUUUAAUUUUUAAAAAUGGUUUAAAAUAAGUAAUUCACUCUACCGAUGUUGAUUUGAUGUAAUAAAUCUAGUCACCUUGAAAAGGCUAUUAUGUUAAAUAAAUACAUUAAGUAGUUAAUUAAUAUGUGUAUGAAUAUGUCAUUUUAACUCAAACAUAUGCAUUUGGAGUUUUU
rnacentral:lncRNA from 1 species